CCUAACAAUUUUUUGCGUUUUUCUUUCAACAUCGAGUGCUUCUUCGAUCAAUCGCGUGAAACGGGAAGAACAAACUUCGAUGAAUCCCAUGUCAUUUUUUAAUUUUAUGGGACAACAACCUGAAAUGAUGAAAAAUUUUACACAAAAAGUCACCGAUAAUAAGCAGCAAUUCGAGCAAGCAAUGACCGGAAUAAAGGAACAAAUGAUGAAAGGAGCUCGCGAUUUAAGGGAAAAAAUUGACCAAGCAAUUAAUAUGGAAGAAAAUAUGCAAUAAAAAUUAAAUUUUAAUCAAUUUCAGUACAAAAUCCCACAAAUUCUAAUAAAUUAAAAUGAAUAAUUGUGAAAGUAGAUUAAAUUUUUUCUCAGUAUUGAAAGGGUAAAUAAUUGCACCUUAUCAUUUCAUUAUUUAUUUACAAUAGUAGUUCAUUACUGCAAUAAACUAUGUUUAUAUAAACAAAAUAAAAAAACGUUUCUCAGUAGUAAUUUGCGAUGAUCAUGCAUUUUAAAUCAUUACAAAGGCAUCAGUUGACUAGUAAAGAGCUCGUAAAAUGGCAAAAAUAUCGCUAGUUUUCGUAAUUUUAGCAGUUUGCUGCAUUUCACUCUCACUUGGUGCGCGGCAAAAGCGCGAAGAAGAGGAAACGACAACAGCAAAAUCUGUAACGCUGGAAGAUGUGAGCAACUGGUUUAGCGAAGUGUCCCAAAAAGCGAAAGAUUUCGUCAAUGAACAGCUGACCGACGAACGAAAACAAGAAUUCUCCAAGUUUUUUGAUGAUGCCAAGGAUAAAUUGACAAAGGGCGUUGGUGAUCUCAGUGAGGCUUUCAAAAAAGCUACAAAAUCCGGAGAUGCUGAAGCUGAAGGAAGUUCUUAAUUGUUUUUUAUAAUUUUAUCUUAGAAUAUACGAGAAGAGAAGAAAUCACUAUCAUGUGUGCGAAACAAAUUUUAUUGCUUAAAAUAUUAAUUAAUAAAAAAAUGGGAUAAAAUUUUCAUUUUUUAU